rnacentral:rRNA from 1 species
AUUGAACGCUGGCGGCAUGCUUUACACAUGCAAGUCGAACGGUAACAGGCCGCAAGGUGCUGACGAGUGGCGAACGGGUGAGUAAUGCAUCGGAACGUGCCCAGUCGUGGGGGAUAACUACUCGAAAGAGUAGCUAAUACCGCAUACGAUCCAUGGAUGAAAGCGGGGGACCGUAAGGCCUCGCGCGAUUGGAGCGGCCGAUGUCAGAUUAGGUAGUUGGUGGGGUAAGGGCUCACCAAGCCAACGAUCUGUAGCUGGUCUGAGAGGACGACCAGCCACACUGGGACUGAGACACGGCCCAGACUCCUACGGGAGGCAGCAGUGGGGAAUUUUGGACAAUGGGCGCAAGCCUGAUCCAGCAAUGCCGCGUGCAGGAAGAAGGCCUUCGGGUUGUAAACUGCUUUUGUACGGAACGAAACGGCUCUGGUUAAUACCCGGGGCUAAUGACGGUACCGUAAGAAUAAGCACCGGCUAACUACGUG